rnacentral:rRNA from 1 species
GACGAACGCUGGCGGCGUGCUUAACACAUGCAAGUCGAACGGUAAGGCCCUUCGGGGUACACGAGUGGCGAACGGGUGAGUAACACGUGGGUGAUCCGCCCUGCACUUCGGGAUAAGCCUGGGAAACUGGGUCUAAUACCGGAUAGGACUCCUGGCUUCAUGGUUGGGGGUGGAAAGCUUUUGCGGUGUGGGAUGGGCCCGCGGCCUAUCAGGUUGUUGGUGGGGUAAUGGCCUACCAAGGCGACGACGGGUAGCCGGCCUGAGAGGGUGACCGGUCACACUGGGACUGAGAUACGGCCCAGACUCCUACGGGAGGCAGCAGUGGGGAAUAUUGCACAAUGGGCGCAAGCAUGAUGCAGCGACGCCGCGUGAGGGAUGACGGCCUUCGGGUUGUAAACCUCUUUCAGCUAUGACGAAGCGCAAGUGACGGUAGUAGCAGAAGAAGGACCGGCCAACUACGUGCCAGCCGCCGCCGUAA